GUACAGAGGGGUGACAAGUGUUGGUCGAAUUACUGGGCGUAAAGCGCGUGUAGGCGGCCCUGCAAGUCGGGUGUGAAUACCCACGGCUCAACCGUGGAAGUGCACUCGAAAACUGCAGGGCUAGAGUCCUGGAGAGGGAAGGUGGAAUGCUUGGUGUAGAGGUGAAAUUCGUAGAUAUCAAAGCGGAACACCGGAUGGCGAAGGCGGCAAUCCGUGGACCCG
rnacentral:rRNA from 1 species